GCGGACAGGCUUAACACAUGCAAGGUCGAGGGCAGCGACGGUAGCAAUACCUGGUGGCGACCGGCGCAAGGGUGCGUAACGCGUGAGCAACAUGCCCUAUACGAGGGGGAUAAUCCAGGGAAACUUGGUCUAAUAUCCCAUAGUAUUUAGAGGAGGCAUCUUCUAUAAAUUAAAGCUUCGGUGGUAUAGGAUUGGCUCGCGUGACAUUAGCUAGAUGGUGAGGUAACGGCUCACCAUGGCAAUGAUGUCUAGGGGUUCUGAGAGGAAGGCCCCCCACACUGGGACUGAGACACGGCCCAGACUCCUACGGGAGGCAGCAGUGAGGAAUAUUGGACAAUGGAUGGAAAUCUGAUCCAGCCAUGCCGCGUGCAGGAAGACAGCCCUAUGGGUUGUAAACUGCUUUUAUAUGGGAGCAAUAAGGUCUACGUGUAGACUGAUGAGAGUACCAUAUGAAUAAGCAUCGGCUAACUCCGUG
rnacentral:rRNA from 1 species